GGGGGGAGCGCCGGUUCUUGGGAUGUGUCCCCGGUGCCCUGCACUCCCGGGCCUGUGCUGUUGGAAUCGCGCUCCCAGCCCGGCAGCCCCUU
rnacentral:pre_miRNA from 1 species